AACGAACGCUGGCGGCAGGCUUAACACAUGCAAGUCGAGCGCCCCGCAAGGGGAGCGGCAGACGGGUGAGUAGCGCGUGGGAACGUACCCUUUGCUACGGAAUAGCUCCGGGAAACUGGAAUUAAUACCGUAUGUGCCCUACGGGGGAAAGAUUUAUCGGCAAAGUAUCGGCCCUCGUUGGAUUAGCUAGUUGGGGGGGUAAUGGCCUACCAAGGCGACGAUCCAUAGCUGGUCUGAGAGGAUGAUCAGCCAGAUUGGGACGGAGACACGGCACAACAUGCAACGGAAGGCAGCAGUGGGGAAUAUUGGACACUGGGCGCAAGCCUCAUCAAGCCAUGUCGCGUGAGUGAUGAAGGCCUUAGAGUUGUAAACCUCUUUCACCGGAGAAGAUAAUGACGGUAUCCGGAGAGGAAGCCCGGGCUAACUUCGUGCCAGACGCCGCCGUAAUAC
rnacentral:rRNA from 1 species